UUAUCUGAUGCGGAGAUAAUGUCGGAGCUAUUGGUAGAGUAGGUAUGUGACCUCAGGAUUUAAUGAGAAUUUAAUACCAAGAUAAGUCGGUUUUUAAUUCAUCGAGCUCUUUCCUGCAAGAUCCUUUGCCGCAAUGGGGAUUAAGAAGGAGAUAAGGUAAGAAGGUUCUGGGGAUUUGGGGGGAAGCGCACGGUCUAGUGGGGACUCGUCAAUAGAAGUACUAGGAGGGGCAGGAGGGAGGGCAGUGAAAUGGUUUUGCUUGGGAUGUGCGACAUCGUGGAUAGUUUUCAGGAAUGAGAAGAUCUUAGAACGAUGUCUUUUUUAAAGCUCUUUAUGUUUACGGUAUGAGACUUCAGUUUUUACAGAAGAAACAAAAUGGAGCCAAGGUGGGGCGUACUUUCUAUUUUGUAUGUUUGAAGACGUCCUUAGUAUAUUAUGUAGCAUCUUUCCUGCUUAACGUUGGAGGCUCAUUAAAGAAAACGAAUGUUCGUAAACUUUUUUAUUUCUGUCUCUAGCUGCAAGAAUGAGUCCAGCAUCCAAGCAAGGUUGUUCUUUCUCCCUUGUUACUUAAUCCAGAUUCUGGCUGAAAAGAUUCAUCUCAAGGAAUUGUAUUCUUGAAGAUGUCGGAAAAAGAUUCCUGGGUCUUGGAAGAGAAUUACUAAAACUGCAGGGGAGGAAUAAAAUUGAAGGGUGUUUUUCUUAGAGAACACCAUGUGUGAGAUUUAUCAAGAGUUUGAAGAUUUAUAUAAGAUACGGGUCCUUUGCGCCAUUUCAACAUGUGAAUCUUUUCACACGGUAGUUAAACAGCACCUGACCCACAGCAACACAGCGGAACUUUCAAUUGUCACAAUAUUAACUGUGUAUUAUUGCAUAAACUUGGCUAUGGCUCUUUAUUCCAGAAUCAUUAUGCAAAGAAAAGGUGUGCAUCAAGAAUGGUAUCAGUUACAUCACUUCUUUCAAAGUCUUGGUCAUCGAACAUCUAUUAGUUACACAGAUAGCAAAGCAUGUAACUGUUGCCUCCUUGUCUCCCAGUGAUAAGCCCAUGGAACAUUUUACAAAAAUGGAUAAUCAGAAGAGGGAAUUGGUCAAUAAAUAUGACUGAACUACAAAGAAAUGAAAAAUG
rnacentral:lncRNA from 1 species